rnacentral:tRNA from 1 species
AUGCACAUGCGCAGAAGCAGCGAAUCGCAACCUGUGUGUGCACAGACAUGGGUUGCGUUCCUUUCAGGUUGCGAACGGGGCUCCGGAACGGAUCCUGUUCACAAUCAGAGGUACCACUGUAAUCUAAAAAAGUAAUCCCUAGCCUCAGUAGAAAUGAAUCAGACCAGGUCAUCAUUGUUCCCCACCCUCAAUACCUAGGCAGGAUUUCUUGCUCGAUCUAUGCUCCAUAUACAUUCACAUUUUUCACAUGACAUAGUUGGUAUCAAAAUGCAAGCCCAAAUCCCCACCACCACCAUUUAAUUCAGAUUUACCCUUUCUGAGGAAAAUCUGGUAAGUAUUUUUAUUUUAUUUUUUUACUGUUCCCAACAUCCAAUAUCCAAAUGACCCAUUCACAAUAUUAAGCUCCAACUGGAAGCAUCCUAAAAACUAAGGUCAUAAAAAGUGCGUCAGGCAUUUAAAACAUUUAAAUAUAGGUAUAAACAGCAGUGACUGAGUUCUGGAGAGAUACUGCCAUUCAAAUUAGUGCAGAAACAGAAGGAAAAGUUAACCACACUUGUCUUCUGCAUGGGUGGUCUUCUUUCAUUUUCAGUACCUUACGCAAAGCUAACAUUCAUUAGGUUGUGUGAUUUCUUGUCUUUUUCAAUCAGCUGCUUCCUGCCGUAAACAUCAGAAGUCUCACAGUGUACACUGUGUUUCAGUCUCUCUGCAUUUUAAGAACAUACUUUUUUCCAUGAGCUAAACAAACAGUUGAACCUUAGAAUGAAAACAUCUGCACUUGCCUACUGGAGGAACAUUUUAAAGCAGAACAUACCCACAAGGCCAAAUGCUUAUCAUUGUUAUUCCAGAGUAUGAACUGGUACAAAUACAAUUCUCCAGAUAUGAACAUACAUAUAUUUAUGAAAUUAUCAGUACGUUCUUUUUUAUUUAAAACAACUGUGGCAAAAGGUCAAAAGCAAUGCUUGGGGAAUCCCAAAUACAUAAACCCCAGAGUUCGGAACUGCAAUUUAAAUGUACUGAACUUAAUUUAUCUGAAUUUUUAAAAAUCAUUUCUUGCUUCUCAAAUCUCUGUCCAUAAUAGAUUGGACAUUUCAUGGAUUUCCCUCCACACUAGCCUUUUCAAGGCACAAGAAUAGUAUUUACAAUUCAAAAGAAUAGCAGGAAAUGUCUAAUAGACUUAGCACUUGGUCCCUAGGAAACAAAACAAAAAAAUAUGCUAAUCUGAAGGCUACUCUACUGCUCCCUAAAUAAGCCAGCUUUAGCUUGUCCAUAUGCGUUAUGAGCAGAUUAAGUGCAGACAUUUUUAAAAGCAAGAGAUCAAUAUUAAUAAUCAACUUUAUAAGUGUGUGCAAAUAAUAUCCUAGUGUUGGUUCAACACUGCAUAAUAACAAAGCAAGAAUAAUUGUGCUUUUGAGUUUACGCUAAAAAAAUACUUUGCAACAACAUUAUGAAGAUUAAUAGUUGUCAGUCAUUAUAAUCCUAUUCUAGGGUUUUUUUAAAAAAAAUCCUCUGGUUUAAGAGAACACUUAAGGCAAUUACAAACCUACUCAUGUACCAAAAAAGCAUGGAAAUUGUAAGUUAAGGCACUUGCUUUAACUUCUCCACCAUGUCAACACUAAACACAUUUCAGUCUCCUAUAUUUGCUUGCCUAGAACUUAACUUCCAUACACUCAUACUUCCCUGGUCUUUCACCCUCAUUUCUCUUCCAGUGCUGGAGGAAAACUAAAGCACACUGCUUUUCCUAUAUGGUUUCAUUGAGAGAUAAUGGAAUAACAGACCCUCCAAGUGUCCCAAUUUUCCAGGGACAUUCCUGAUUUAGAGAAGCUGUCCUGGUUUCUGAUUUGAUCCUGGAAUGUCCCACUUUUCCUUAGAAUGUCCCUAUUUUCAUUGGAGAAAUGUUGGAGGGUAUGGAGUUAUCUGCCCCACCCCCAGCUGUCUGAAGGCAAUCAUGUAUAGGGAAGUUCUUUUAAAAUGUUUAAUGUUUUAUGAUGUUUUUAUAUAUGUUAGAAGCUGCCCAGAGUGGCUGGGGCAACCAAGUAAGAUGUGUGGGGUAUAAAUAGUAAAAUUAUCAUUAUGGAAUGGGAUGUCCCUAUUUCCAUCAGAGAAAUGUUGGAGGGUAUGGAAUAAAUAAAUAGUUCUAACUAUGUACAAUUUAGGGAGAGUAGAGAAGGAAUACAAGGCUGGAGACCAACAGGCAAGCGUCUUUCAUCAUAAAAUGGCACACACAACACUUUUGAGAAGUCCACCAUUUCUGAAUAAAAUGUAAAGGACUCUCCUUUGCAAAAAUUGGCUUCAUUUAAAAUAAGUUAGAAUUGUCUAACGCUCUGACAAUGCUUGGGAUAAAUUGCUUGUUUUACUCUUGGUUAAAAUAUGUACAAGAAUGCACUCUGCAGCUUAAGAAAGGCUAUGCAAGUGGCUGGCAGUCAUAAUUAUGCGUUUAGAAUGUAAACACAUAUAUCUCAUUAAAUUUUGACAUACUAAAGACUCCAGCUUCGGUGCUGUGGUUGAGCCCAACCUACAAUAGAAGGCAAGUAAAGAAAAGCAUGGGUAUAGAAGCCUACAUAAGACUGCAAAACAUACCAUUUACAUGGUGUUAAGGCAGGUGCCAUCACCUACAAUAUCCACAAUUUGGGGGAAUGAGAAAACUUGUAAAUGCCUCAACCCUUUGUAUCCAUGUUCGUGUGUGUGUGUGUGUGUGUGUGUGUGUGUGUGUGUGUGUUAUACUGCACAAUAUUUCAAUAUAAAUGAUCAAAAUACAUAUUUCCAAGUGAUUUUUUUUUUAAAUAACAAUUCCAAUAAUUUAAAAAUAGAACAAACCCAUUUCCCCUGUAGAAUAUAGUCAGGGGUGGAGGAAGGAGGUGCGGUGGGUGCAAGCUGCCCCGGGUGUCACCAUUGAGGGGGGUGACAAAAUGCCGGGCGGCAAUCACCACAGGGCUUGCAGCGCACCCGAGCCAUGCAUCUCUCCUGGGAGAGACAUGGUGGCUUGGACACACACAGGCUCCGUACUGCCCAAACGGUCCACCUACUGCCUCUCCCCCAGCUGUAGGGCGGCUGAGUGGAAGGAGGCAGGCAGACUCCAGAGGCCCCGUGGUGUGCCCUGCCGUUAUGGGCAGCUCGCCCCACCGCUGGGCGCGUCACCCCAGGUGCCCAAGCUACUUCUUCCGGCGCUGAAUAGUCACAAUUUUUCCUUUAAACCAACUUCCACAAUGUCAGAUAUCUUUCUUUCAAUCUAAGAGGAGACCAAGCAUGCGUCACUUUUUGUUAGAAUGAACUGGAUGUUUUUGGAUACAGAAAUAAUUAUCUGCAGAGUAAUAGGCCUAGCAGAAGAAAAUGCAGCUUCCAAACUUGAAAAGUACCCAUGCAUCAAUAGUUCCGUUGGUAGAGCAUGAGACUCUUAACCUCAGGGUCGUGGGUUUGAGCCCCAUGUUGGGCCAAAGGUUCUGGCAUUGCGAAAACUAUUUGUAGCAUUAACAAUCAAAAUUACAACAACAAAAACUUUCCCCAACCCAAAAGAAUAAAAACAUUGUAAGAACUGUUAAAAGGAUCCAAAAUUAUCCUAUGAACAGAACAUUCUAUCCCUUUAUGCUGUCUUUGACUUCUAAAUAUUGGCUGUGGGACAUGAACAUUUUCUUUUAUCAACAAAACCCAAACUGACCGAUAGUUACUUCUUGUUUGUGGAGCUCUCAUCUGAAAGCCCCAUGCUGUGUCAGGAAAAUUUUGUGCACACAAUAGUCUUCUAAAUGUUUCCUGGUGAUAUUUAAACAGGUUCCCACACCUCUGCACUAAAAGACUAAGGUCAUCUCAGAAACAAAGCAGAUGCUAAUGUUUCCAUCUUUACAAUCAGUGAAAGUGUAAAAAGUCAAACAUAUGUUUUAGUAAGUAUGCUCAAAGCUUGCAUCAUGUAGAAAUCCUCGAUACCACCCCAUUUUGAUUUUUUACAAAAUAUUUAUAUCCGACUUUGCCACUAUUAUUAUUUAGAACACCUUUAUAACAUUUAUAAAGAUAGCAGAAACAACAUCAAGCAACAAUUAACAACCCUGCCAUAAGCACUGAAAGCAGCAGCAAAUAGAACUGUUAGCAGAACUUAUCAAAAGCCAGAGAAAAGGGAAUGCCCCAAAACCCAGCUGUCUGGUCAGUAGUCAUAC